rnacentral:lncRNA from 1 species
GAUGCGAUCAUACCAGCACUAAUGCACCAGAUCCCAUCAGAACUCCGCAGUUAAGCGUGCUUGGGCGAGAGUAGUACUAGGAUAGGGGACCAACCAGAAAGUCCUCGUGGUGCAUCCCACUUUUUCUUUCGGUUUUUCUCUAUUUUGUUUUGUUAAAAAUGUAUGACUCUAUAACGUUUAGACCGUGAGGCAAAACUUGGAAUGUGAUACCUUUUCGGAAAGCCCAAAGAGAGCUCUCCGAUAAAUGAGGAAGGAAAAUGGAAUUCUUCUAUUGGUUUUUUAUUCUACUCCAAAUUUUGACCUUAAUGUACUUUUUUGGUCUUUUUGGUGAUCUUUGCUAUAUGACAGGGCGAAAAUUAUAUGAUCGGACAUUGUUUUCGAAUAUUUUGCAUGUAUCAAAGCUCUUAUAAACAAGAUAGGGUAUUCCUACAUAGCUGGUGGGAGCCACGGCAAAUGGAUCUUAAAGUCUUCAAAAAAAGAAUAGAUACGAUUGCAUUGGAUGUAGUAAACGGAUGCGAUCAUACCAGCACUAAUGCAACGGAUCCCAUCAAAACUCCGCAGUUAAGCGUGCUUGGGCGAGAGUAGUACUAGGCUGGGUGACCUCCCGGACAGUCCUCGUGUUGCAUCCCUCUUUUCUUUUUCGGUUUUUCUCUAUUUUGUUUUGUUAAAAUUGUAUGACUCUAUAACUUUUAGACCGUGACGCCAAACUUCGCAUGUGAUACCUUUUCGGAAAGCCCAAAGAGAGCUCUCCGAUGAAUGAGGAAGGAAAAUGGAAUUCUUCUAUUGGUUUUUUUGCUAUUCCAAAUUUUGACCUUAAUGUACUUUUUUGGUCCUUUUCGUGAUAUUUGCUAUAUUACAGGGCAAAAAUUAUAUGAUCGGACAUUGUUUUCGAAUAUUUUGCAUGUAUCAAAGCUCUUAUAAACAAGAUAUGGUAUUCCUACAUGGCUGGUGUGACCCACGACAAAUGGAUCAUAAAGUCUUAAAAAAAAAGAUAGAUACGAUUGCAUUGCAUGUAGUAAACGGAUGCGAUCAUACCAGCACUAAUGCACCGGAUCCCAUCAAAACUACGCAGUUAAGCGUGCUUGGGCGAGAGUAGUACUAGGCUGGGUGACCUCCCGGAUAGUCCUCGUGUUGCAUCCCUCUUUUCUUUUUCGGUUUUUCUCUAUUUUGUUUUGUUAAAAUUGUAUGACUCUAUAACUUUUAGACCGUGAGGCCAAACUUUGCAUGUGAUACCUUUUCGGAAAGCCCAAAGAGAGCUCUCCGAUGAAUGAGGAAGGAAAAUGGAAUUCUUCUAUUGUUUGUUUUUUCUAUUCCAAAUUUUGACCUUAAUGUACUUUUUCGGGCUUUUUCGUGAUCUUUGCCAUAUUACGGGGCGAAAUUAUAUGUUCGGACAUUGGUUUUGAAUAUUUUGUAUGUAUCAAAGCUCUUAUAAACAAGAUAUGGUAUUCCUACAUGGCUGGCGUGACCCACAGCAAAUGGAUCAUAAAGUCUUCAAAAAAAGAAUAUAUACGAUUGCAUUGCAUGUAGUAACGGAUGCGAUCACACCAGCACUAAUGCACCAGAUCCAAUUAAAACUCCGCAGUUGAGCAUACUUGGGCGAGAGUAGUACUAGGAUGGGUGACCUCCCGGAAAGUCCUCGUGUUGCAUCCCUCUUUUCUUUUUUUUGUUAAAAAUGUACGACUUUAUAACUUUUAGACCAUGAGGCCAAACUUGGAAUGUGAUACCUUUUCGGAAAGCCCAAAGAGAGCUCUCCUAUGAAUGAGGAAAGAAAAUGGAAUUCUUCUAUUGGUUUUUUAUUCUACUCCAAAUUUUGACCUUAAUGUACUUUUUUGGUCUUUUUCGUGAUCUUUGCUAUAUGACAGGGCGAAAAUUAUAUGAUCGGACAUUGUUUUCGAAUAUGUUGCAUGUAUCAAAGCUCUUAUAAACAAGAUAGGGUAUUCCUACAUAGCUGGUGGGAGCCACGGCAAAUGGAUCUUAAAGUCUUCCAAAAAAGAAUAGAUACGAUUGCAUUGCAUGUAGUUAACGGAUGCGAUCAUACCAGCACUAAUGCAACGGAUCCCAUCAAAACUCCGCAGUUAAGCGUACUUGGGCAAGAGUAGUACUAGGAUGGGGGACCUACCAGAAAGUCCCCGUGGUGCAUCCGACUUUUUCUUUCGGUUUUUCUCUAUUUUGUUUUGCUAAAAAUGUAUGAUUCUAUAACGUUUAGACCGUCAGGCCAAACUUGGCAUGUGAUACCUUUUCGGAAGCCCAAAGAGAGCUCUCCGAUGAAUGAGGAAGCAAAAUGGAAUUCUUCUAUUGUUUUUUUUUUCUAUUCCAAAUUUUGAGCUUAAUGUACUUUUUCGGGCCUUUUCGUGAUCUUUGCUAUAUUACGGGGCGAAAAUUAUAUGUUUGGACAUUGUUUUCGAAUAUUUUGCAUGUAUCAAAGCUCAGAUAAACAAGAUAGGGUAUUCCUACAUACCUGGUGGGACCCACGGCAAAUGGAUAGUAAAAUCUUCAAAAAAGAAUAGAUACUAUUGCAUUGCAUGUAGUAAUGGAUGCGAUCAUAUCAGCACUAACGCACCGGAUCCCAUCAAAACUCCACAGUUAAGCGUGUUUGGGCGAGAGUAGUACUAGGAUGGGGGACCUACCAAAAAGUCCUCGUGGUGCAUCCCACUUUUUCUUUCGGUUUUUCUCUAUUUUGUUUUGUUAAAAAUGUAUGACUCUAUAACGUUUAGACCGUCAGGCCAAACUUGGCAUGUGAUACCUUUUCGGAAAGCCCAAAGAGAGCUCUCCGAUGAAUGAGGAAGCAAAAUGAAAUUCUUCUAUUGUUUUUUUUUCUAUUCCAAAUUUUGACCUUAAUGUAGUUUUUCGGGCCUUUUCGUGAUCUUUGCUAUGUUCGGACAUUGUUUUCGAAUAUUUUUCAUGUAUCAAAGCUCUUAUAAACAAGAUAUCGUAUUCCUACAUGGCUGGUGUGACCCACGACAAAUGGAUCAUAAAGUUUUCAAAAAAGAAUAGAUACGAUUGCAUUGCAUGUAGUAAACGGAUGCGAUCAUACCAGCACUAAUGCACCGGAUCCCAUCAAAACUCUACACUUAAGCGUGCUUGGGAGAGAGUAGUACUAGGAUGGGUGACCUCCAAGAAAGUCCUCGUGUUGCAUCCCUCUUUUCUUUUUUCGGUUUUUCUCUAUGUUUUUUUGUUAAAAUUGUAUGACUCUUUAACUUUUAGACCGUGAGGCCAAACUUCGCAUGUGAUACCUUUUCAGAAAGCCCAAAGAGAGCUCUCCGGUGAAUGAGGAAGGAAAAUUGAAUUUUUCUAUUGGUUUUUUUUUCUACUCCAAAUUUUGACGUUAAUGUACUUUUUGGGGCCUUUUCGUGAUCUUUGCUAUAUUACGGAGCGAAAAUUAUAUGUUUGGACAUUGUUUUCGAAUAUUUUGCAUGUAUCAAAGCUCUGAUAAACAAGAUAGGGUAUUCCUACAUAGCUGGUGGGACCCACGGCAAAUGGAUCGUAAAGUCUUCGAAAAAGAAUAGAUACGAUUGCAUUGCAUGUAGUAACGGAUGCGAUCAUACCAGCACUAACGCACCGGAUCCCAUCAAAACUGUGCAGUUAAGCGUGUUUGGGCGAGACUAGUACUAGGAUGGGUGACCUCACGGAAAGUCCUCGUGUUGGAUCCCUCUUUUCUUUUUUCGAUUUUUGUCCUCUUUUUUUUGUUAAGAAUGUAUGACUCUAUUACUUUUAGACAGUGAGGCCAAACUUCGCAUGUGAUACCUUUUCGGAAAGCCCAAAAAGAGCUCUCUGAUGAAUGAGGAAGGAAAAUUGAAUUCUUCUAUUCUUUUUUUUUCUACUCCAAAUUUUGACGUUAAGGUACUUUUUAAGGCCUUUUCGUGAUCUUUGCUAUAUUACGGAGCGAAAAUUAUAUGUUUGGACAUUGUUUUCGAAUAUUUUGCAUGUAUCAAAGCUCUCAUAAACAAGAUAGGGUAUUCCUACAUAGCUGGUGGGACCCACGACAAAUGGAUAGUAAAGUCUUCAUAAAAGAAUAGAUACUAUUGCAUUGCAUGUAGUAACGGAUGCGAUCAUAUCAGCACUAACGCACCGGAUCUCAUCAAAACUCCGCAGUUAAGCGUGUUUGGGCGAGAGUAGUACUAGGAUGGGUGACCUCCCGGAAAGUCCUCCUGUUGCAUCCCUCUUUUCUUUUUUCGGUGUUUCUCUAUUUUUUUUUGUUAGAAAUGUAUGACUCUAUAAGGUUUAGACAGUGACGCCAAACUUCGCAUGUGAUACCUUUUCAGAAAGCCCAAAGAGAGCUCUCCGAUGAAUGAGGAAGGAAAAUUGAAUUUUUCUAUUGGUUUUUUUUCUACUCCAAAUUUUGACGUUAAUGUACUUUUUUGGGCCUUUUCGUGAUCUUUACUAUAUUACGGAGCGAAAAUUAUAUGUUCGGACAUUGUUUUCGAAUAUUUUGCAUGUAUCAAAGGUCUUAUAAACAAGAUAGGAUAUUCCUACAUAGUUGGUGGGACCCAUGGCAAAUGGAUCGUAAAGUCUUCAAAAAAGAAUAGAUACGAUUGCAUUGCAUGUAGUAACGGAUGCGAUCAUACCAGCACUAAUGCACCUGAUCCCAUCAAAACUCCGUAGUUAAGCGUGCUUGGGGCGACAGUAGUACUAGGAUGGGUGACCUCCCGGAAAGUCCUCGUGUUGCAUCCCUCUUUUCUUUUUUCGGUUUUUCUUUUUCUUUUUUUGUUAAAAAUGUAUGACUCUAUAACUUUUAGACAGUGAGGCAAAACUUCGCAUGUGAUACCAUUUUGGAAAGCCCAAAGAGAGCUCUCCGAUGAAUGAGGAAGGAAAACUGAAUUCUUCUAUUGUUUUUUUUUCCAACUCCAAAUUUUGACGUUAAUGUACUUUUUUGGGCCUUUUCGUGAUCUUUGCUAUAUUGCGGAGCAAAAGUUAUAUAUUCGGACAUUGUUUUCGAAUAAUUUGCAUGUAUCAAAGCUCUUAUAAACAAGAUAGGGUAUUCCUACAUAGCUGGUGGGACCCACGGCAAAUGGAUCGUAAAGUCUUCAAAAAAGAAUAGAUACGAUUGCAUUGCAUGUAGUAACAGAUGCGAUCAUACCAGCACUAACGCACCAGAUCCCAUCAAAACUGUGCAGUUAAGCGUGCUUGGACGAGAGUAGUACUAGGAUGGGUGACCUCCCGG